UACGUAGGUGGCAAGCGUUGUUCGGAAUUAUUGGGCGUAAAGAGCUCGUAGGCGGUGUGUCGCGUCGGCCGUGAAAACCUGCAGCUUAACUGUGGGCUUGCGGUCGAUACGGGCAUCACUGGAGUUCGGCAGGGGAGACUGGAAUUCCUGGUGUAGCGGUGAAAUGCGUAGAUAUCGUAAGGAAGACCAGUGGCGAAGGCGGAUCUCUGGACAGUUACUGACACUGGAGGCACGCAGGCCAGGGGAGCAAACGGG
rnacentral:rRNA from 1 species